rnacentral:miRNA from 1 species
GCCUUCUGACUCCAAGUCCAGU